rnacentral:tRNA from 1 species
GUCGGGAUUGCCAAGUCUGGUCAACGGCGCAGGACUUAAGAUCCUGUCACAUACGUGUUCGUGGGUUCGAAUCCCAUUCCCGACA